GUGGGGAAUCUUGCGCAAUGGGCGCAAGCCUGAUCCAGCCAUGCCGCGUGAGUGAUGAAGGCCUUAGGGUUGUAAAGCUCUUUCAGUGGGGACGAUAAUGACGGUACCCACAGAAGAAGCCCCGGCUAACUUCGUGCCAGCAGCCGCGGUAAUACGAAGGGGGCUAGCGUUGUUCGGAUUUACUGGGCGUAAAGCGCACGUAGGCGGAUCGUUAAGUCGGGGGUGAAAUCCUGGAGCUCAACUCCAGAACUGCCUUCGAUACUGGCGAUCUUGAGUCCGGAAGAGGUGAGUGGAACUCCGAGUGUAGAGGUGGAAUUCGUAGAUAUUAGGAAGAACACCAGUGGCGAAGGCGGCUCACUGGUCCGGUACUGACGCUGAGGUGCGAAAGCGUGGGGAGCAAACAGGAUUAGAUACCCCAGUAGUCC
rnacentral:rRNA from 1 species